GAUGAACGCUGGCGGCGUGCCUAAUACAUGCAAGUCGAGCGAACAGACGAGGAGCUUGCUCCUCUGACGUUAGCGGCGGACGGGUGAGUAACACGUGGAUAACCUACCUAUAAGACUGGGAUAACUUCGGGAAACCGGAGCUAAUACCGGAUAAAAUGUUGAACCGCAUGGUUCAACAGUGAAAGACGGUCUUGCAUUAACUUAUAGAUGGAUCCGCGCCUCAUUAGCUAGUUGGUAAGGUAAGGGCUUACCAAGGCAACGAUGCGUAGCCGACCUGAGAGGGUAAUCGGCCACACUGGAACUGAGACACGCUCCAGACUCCUCCGGGAGGCAGCAGUAGGGAAUCUUCCGCAAUGGGCGAAAGCCUGACGGAGCACCGCCGCGUGAGUGAAGAAGGUCUUCGGAUCGUAAAACUCUGUUAUUAGGGAAGACCAAAUGUGUAAGUAACUAUGCACGUCUUGACGGUACCUAAUCAGAAAGCCACGGCUAACUACGUG
rnacentral:rRNA from 1 species